UCCCGUUGGACCGCCGCCACCGCUGAUCCCCUCUGCCCUCUACAUCCCCCUCCACCGCUAACCUGUUCAACCUCCACCAAUAUUAAUGGUGCAGGCGCAUCGAGGUCGACGUUGCCUCCCUCCACACCCAUCUGGUGUGUGAGGUGGACAUCGUCGUCCACCCUUGGGCUCUGGCAUCGAGAUUGGUCAACACCGUCGGUGCUCGACGCUUGCCUCCCUCCCCAGCACCAGAUCCGACGGCAGCACCGAGCCCCUCCAUUGUGCCGCAAGCCCGCCGACGGCAAUCACCAGAGGAAGCGGUGCUUCUUGGCUCCUCUACCAUCUCUGGGUCAUCGCGCCACCACCAUGCCGCCACGCUCUACAUCCCCGCGGACCUCCAUCUGAUGACCAUGGGCGGGCUUCCUCCACCCCGACGGCGAGCGCAGUGCGUGCUCGUCACUAUGCUGGUACAAAAGGCAGAUCAGAUCUGUCAAGGUGGAAACGAGAUGCAGGUACUGAAGACAUAUAAUGAAUGUUGGGAUCCUUUCCCCCUUGUCUUUGAAGGAUUUGUGUGUAGAAUAAUGAGAUGUAUAGGGGGUUGAGUUACAGAGGGAGUUGCUAUCAUCAAUUCAUCAUGCACAUACCUGCUAGUUCUUUAAUUCUCCUCAUACUCACGUGAUUAAUCAAGUGCAUGUUAAACAUUUUUUACGUUUGUUUCAGUUAUAGAUGCUGCUCCUCUCUGAAUAGGUGGCUGGAAGAACCCCUAUCUUUAAUUUUGCCUAAACUUGUAAAAGGUUGUGGAUUAAUAAAGGUUACCUUUUCUGUAAAAAAAUGUACGCUCAGUUGUGGACUGGACUGAAGUGCUUUCUGUAAAAACAAACUUCAAACUUCAUACCUUGUUUUCAUAAUGUCAGAAAACUAUUCUUGAUGGUUUUGUAGGUUGAUGGCGGAUACUUGAGAGUAUUUGGUUUAUGUAACUUCUGAGCAGGUUCAUUGAUUCUAGAGUUGCGGCCUUCUGUUAUGUGUAGAUGUAAAUGUAAAAGAAACAGUAAGUAAUCUCCCUUUCUUUUCUUUUGUAUUUGUUAUGAUUUUAUAUAACAUGUCUUAUUGCAGCUAUGCAUUGCCGCAAUUGUACUGAUCGCCUAUGAUAAAAAGGGAAUAAUAUUUUGUCCAAAGUGAGUAGAUGAGAGAAUAAUAAUGCUUAUUUUCUGACAAAAAAGUGGCUUCCGUAAUAGCCUAUAGUAGCUCUGGACUAAAUUAGACGGGCGGUCUCUGCUACCUUGCAAGUCCCUGUGUAACCUCACAUGAAAGUAUACUCAUUCACACGCUGCUAUAUUAUCUCCUAAUGCCUUCCCCUAAUAACAGAGCCCAUAAUCAGUACAUGUCAGGAAUAUGUCCUCAUCUGUACACAUAAAUUUCUACUACUGUACAUUGCAUCUUAUUUAUUGUCUGCUUUCCUGGUCUAAUGAACAUGAAUUGAAGUCCUGUUUUGGUUUGUUCUUAAAUCUCACGUAUGUACCUGAAUACCAUCUAUGGUUUACUUUCUUAGAUACAUUGAAUUUUAGUAAGUUUCAUGGAAACAAUUUUGCACAUCUAAAGUAUGGUGCGACCCCUUCUGAUUGCUUUCCGCACUAUUGUACAUUUAAAACAUGAUUCAUAUAUGAUAUUUUUCAAUUUGUUAUCCUCCCAUAAUCACCCAGUUAAUGUAUUCCACCAUUAGAAGUAUACCAAAUGCUCUUUUAUUACUGUAUUUUACACUCUUGGGUACAACUUAUUUGUUUUGUUGUCUUUAGUAGGGAGAUACUUCAUUGUGCUGUUAAGUGAUCAAAGUCAGCAGAAUUCUUUUUUGUAACAUUGUUCUCAUCUUUGAACACAUGUUGUUUCUUUUAUGUUAUGAUUUUUUACAAC